CUCACUAUGUCGUAUCGGCGUCUUCAGGUGCCGGUAGUGGGUCUUUGGUCGGGGCCGGGCCGGAGCUCAAGCUAGGGCUGCUGUGGGAACAGGCGCAGCCAUGCGGCUGGGCUCCGGGGCCUUCGCCGCCUGCUGCGUGGUGAUUGAGGUGCUCGGGGUCGCCGUCUUUCUCCGGGGUUUCUUCCCGGUAUCAGUGCGCUCUGCGUCCCCUGUCCGGCCCCUGCCCCCAGCGCCGGAGCCCGCGGCAGGAACAAGUUCCAACUGGACCCAGCUUCCACCUCCUCUCUUCAGAAAAGUUGUUAUAAUGCUGGUAGAUGGCUUGAGAGGUGAUUUUGUGUUUGGAUCAAAGGGUGUGCAGUUCAUGCCUUAUACAACGUAUCUUACAGAAAAAGGAUUCACUCAUAGUUUUAUAGCAGAAGCAAAGCCACCCACUGUUACUCUGCCUCGAAUCAAGGCCCUAAUGACAGGAAGUAUCCCUGGCUUUAUUGAUGCUGUUAUGAACUUUAAUUCUCCCGUGUUACUGGAAGACAACCUCAUUGGGCAGGCAAAAGCAGCUGGGAAAAGAAUCAUCUUUUAUGGAGAUGAUACAUGGAUUAAGUUAUUCCCAAAGCAUUUUGUAGAAUAUGAUGGAACAACCUCCUUUUUUGUGUCAGAUUUUAGAGAGGUUGAUGAUAAUAUUACAAGGCAUUUGGAUAAUGUAUUAAAAAGGGAAGACUGGGAUAUGCUAAUACUUCACUACCUAGGAUUGGAUCAUAUUGGUCACGUGACUGGGCCACAUAGUCCUUUGGUAGGACCAAAGCUUAAAGAGAUGGAUUACAUCCUAAAGAAGAUCCACAUUUCAUUGUUGUCCAAGGAGAGAGAGGCUUCUUUGCCCCAUUUAUUGGUCCUUUGUGGAGAUCAUGGGAUGUCUGAAACAGGAGGCCAUGGGGCCUCUUCAAUAGAGGAAGUGAGCACACCUCUGAUUUUGAUCAGCUCUGCAUUUCAAAGGAAAAGCGGGAACUUCCAACCUCCAAAGCAUGUCCAGCAGACUGACCUGGCUGCCACACUAGCAGUGGGCCUUGGUUUGCCGAUUCCAAAAAAUAGUGUGGGGAGCCUGUUGUUUCCAGUUGUGGAAGGAGCAACAAUAAGAGACCAGCUGAGGUUCCUGCACUUAAAUUCUGUACAGCUCAGCAGACUGCUGCAAGAGAAUGUGCCCAUGUAUGAGAAAGAUCCUGGAUUUCAGCAAUUUAAAAUAUCAGAAAAAUUGCAUGGGAAUUGGAUCAAGCUCUACUUGGAGGGAAAUAAUUCAGAAGUCCUUUUAAACCUUGGCAGAAAAGUUCUUAAGCAGUAUUUAAAUGCUUUGAAGACCCUGAGUAUGUCACUGAGCAAACAAGUAGCCCAAUAUGAUAUAUACUCAAUGGUGAUUGGGACUGUCAUAGUCUUGGAGGUUCUGAUUCUGCUUUUGCUCAGUACCCCGAAAGCUUUGUGCCAGAAGGCUGAGUUUGAGAUUCCACUGUUGUCUUCCUUGUUUUCUUUGCUGUUUUACUUGAUGGUCCUUGUUCUCUCUUCAGUCCAUGUUAUCGUGUGCACCUCAGCUGAGAGGUCAUGUUACUUCUGUAGUGUCUCUUGGCUGAUGGCCGUCAUGGUGAUGAUGCUGAUUUCUGCCCUUCUCUGUGUGAUCUUAUGUCUUCUCACAAAUAUGUUUGAGAAUGUCAAACCUCCAGCUAAGAAUCCAGCUGCCUCCAGUUCCAGCUGGUCGGGAUUAGAUCUGCUUAUUUUAUUUGGAACUCUGGGCCACGUUCUGAGUUUGGGUGCAAGCAGCUUUAUAGAAGAAGAACACCAAACCUGGUAUUUUCUUAUCAAUACUCUUUGUCUAGCUCUGGGUCAUGAAAUAUGUAGAAACCACUUUCUUGGGAAGGAAUUUGACCAUAAUGUAACUGUGGAAAGGAAUUUUCAAAAAGAGGCAAACAAGGUUAUACAAUACAAAAAUGACCAUGUGGAUGUCCCAGAGUUCAGCAAAAUGCACAAGACGUUGUCUUCUUUGGAACUGCCAGAGGGCUAUGAAAAGUGGUUGGGAUUGGCCAGUCCAUGGCUUAUACUGAUUUGCUGUAGACUUCUCCGAUCAUUAAAUCAGACAGGAGUGCAGUGGGCUCAUCGACCAGAUUUUGGCCACUGGCUGACCAGCUCUGAUCAUAAAGCUGAACUCUCUGUUCUGGCAUUUCUCUCCCUUGUUAUGGUCUUUAUUCUGGUUCAGAGAAGAUGCUCACCUGUUUCAAAAGUAGCAAUGGCACUAGGGCUCUUGGGAGUCUAUUGCUAUCGAGCAGCAUUUGGAAAUGUCUUUUUGCCAUGGCAACGAGACAACAAAGAUAUUUCUAAGGGAAUUAUUGAAGCUCGCUUUGUGUAUGUCUUUGUUCUGGGUAUUCUUUUCACUGGAACCAAAGACUUGCUUAAAGCCCAAGUCACUUCUGCAGAUAUCAAUAUCAAGAGUCGAGGUUUGUGGGAAAUAUAUAGCGGAUUAGUUCUUCUAGCAGCCUUGUUGCUCCGACCUCACAAUCUUCCUGUUUUGGUAUUUAGUCUGUUGAUUCAGGCUAUAAUGGCAAAAUUCAUCUGGAAGCCCUUGAAACAUGAUGCAGCUCAGAUUACCAUAAUGCAUUAUUGGUUUGGCCAAGCUUUCUUUUAUUUUCAGGGUAAUUCCAAUAACAUUGCCACACUGGAUAUUUCAGCAGGCUUUGUUGGCCUGGACCACUAUAUAGAAGUGCCAGCUAUGUUCCUCACGGCUUUUGCAACAUAUAUAGGACCUAUCCUUUGGGCCAUUCAUUUACUGAGUUUUUUGAGUUCAGAAAACAACAGCAGGAGCUCAGCAAUGAGUCACGCCUGCUUCUGCUAUGCGGUGAUAUGUUCCAUCCCUGUGUCUGCGUAUAUCAUCCUGGUGACAUCUCUACGUUACCAUUUGUUUAUAUGGAGUGUGUUUUCUCCAAAACUUCUCUAUGAGGGAAUGCAUCUAUUACUCACAGCUACCAUUUGUGUAUUUUUCACAGCCAUGGACCAAACCAAUCUCAUAAAACCUUAGUCUAUUAAGUAUGCCAGGAAAGAACUGAGCUUUUUAAAAUGCCUAUUAAUUGCUGACUGGAUUUGAGUAAUGGAAGAUAAGUUUAACUACUUAGAAGAUCGUUCUAGAAAAAGAUAAAAAGUUAUUUAUGGCUUAUGAGUUCUACCAGUUUAAAAAAAAUCUUCAACUUCUUUGACUUUUGUACUUGAAUUUAGAUUUACUGUAAAUGACUUUUGGUGGUUGAGAUGGGAGAGGGGACUGACUGGUGAGGGAGGGGGAGGAGGAGGAGAAACUCUUCAACCAUUUGAAAAAGUACUAAUUUUGUUUCAAAAUAUUAAAUUUAAUUACAAACCAUGACCAUUUCCCCUUAAUGAGUCAGUCUAAAAACAUCUGGUUUUGUUGAUUUACUCCAAACAUAUUAUAAAUUUAGAGUUUUGUUUGUUAAUGAAUGACAGUUUUUAAAAAUUUUUAAAACUUUACUGAACUGCUGGAUGCACUUGACUGAGGGGCUAAGAAGUGGAAGGAGAAGCAGACGUAUCAGUCAAAAAUGUUUUUAUCCAACUCUGCCAUGAUUAUUCAUGAGAUAGCAUGGAGAAAGAAAGAGCGACAUGAGGCUAACUCUAUGACCCUCCAUGAGCAGUAGCAGGCAGCUAAAUUCCUGGAUUGUAGUCACGGGACAUUCUAGGCCGAAGGAGGAAACUGAAAGAGAGGAAGAACAUCGGCUUCAACCAAGGGACAGAAGGUACAAAGAGCUAGAGGAGAAUCGUAACAAGGAUGCUGGUGCCCGACAUUGCCCUGGGCUGGUCAAGGGUCAGGGAGGAGAGAGGAUGUUCACUUGUACUCCCCCUGCUCCCUGGGAAGACAUCCCUGAGCUAAGCCUGUGCAUGUGAGAAUAAGGGUGCACCAGGUGUCCAGCCAACACUUAGAAACUCUUGUAAAGAGAAACAAGGACAGGAACAGUGAGAUGCAAUAAUUCCUCUGAAAAAGACCUGGAGGAUUUAAUGAUUCUGAGGUCAUUAUGAGUCAUCGAUGUGGCAUGGCAGCUAAAACCACUAAUGGGAUCUUAGUCUUCAUCAGUAAAAACAUCCUGUCCAGAAUUUUUCAGGUCACAGCUCCUCUGUCUUCUGCCUUGGGGGGUCUGGUGGAUAAGGCACUGGACCUGAAGUCAAGAAGAUCUGAGUUCAAAUCCACCCUUAGACGCUUCCUGGCUGCGUGUUCCUGAGCAAGUCACUUAGCUUCUCUCUUCUUCAGCUUCCUCAUCUGCAAAGUGGAGACAAUCAUGGCACCUGUCUCCCGGGGUGGCUCUGAUGGUCAGACGAGAUGGACGGAUCCUCAGACCGGGUUUGGAGUGACAAAAGUGUUCCUUUAUCAAAGGUGUUCAACAAGGAACUGACCGUACAUGUUAAUUACAUGUCCAAAACCUGACAAUUUUGCAAAACUUGUGAAAUGUGAUGAAAAAACAAAUGAACAUUCUCCAAGAGCUUUGGGAAGCAGCUACCUGGCUUUUCCUAGAAUAGCCAAAAGUUCUUUCUCUCCUUUGGGUUUUCAGAGAAAAUAUCUUCAGAGAAUGGAAGGUCAACAAAUAGUCAGACUUGGUAAUAGGUGGGAUCGUGUGAAGCACAAACCUAAUUAUUCUGACUCAAACCUUGACUCAGCAUCCUUGACCCUGUGGUUUUAGAAUUGAAGAGGAAAGGGAAAGGGCACUGCAUCUGGGAGGCAGGACCAAAGCGUUUGGUCCUACUUGUCAAGUGGCAGCUCCUUGAGAGCAGGGCCUGGGUUUGGUUGGGUUUUUAAUACCUUUAUACAGGCUGUCCCAAAAGUCUUAGUGCAGCGUUAAGCUCUAAUAUCUUAAAAACUGCACUAAGGUUUUGGGAAUACCCUGAAUGUAUUUCCUGGCACUUAAGUAGAUAUUUAAUAAAAUUCAUUAUAUGGAAUUGGUAAGAGCUGAUGUUUAAGUAACUGACCUUACUACCAACCCAUUGUGAGUUAUAAAAGAAAAUUGAUAUCCAGUUAUAGCCAACAUUCCUCCAGCAGGGAGAGAAGGGCUCUGACACAGGGGAGUCAGAUUAUCGGAAAGAAAUUGAGCUGGAGAGGGUUCCAUUUGUUAUUUACUUUCAAUUCCUGAGAAUGAAAAACUUAUCACAUAGGUCUAUUUUGGUGUAUGAGUGUGUCUGUGUGUGUGACAUGUACCUGGGAUCAUUGGCUAAUAAGUUGAAUGAGUUAAAAUCACAGCCCAGAAAAACACUGACAGGCCAGAUAAUGGUGUCAGCAUCUCUGGUAAACAAGACUGUUUAGAGACAGUCCUAGUCAUGCCCCUAGGCAAAUGUAACAGCAGAAGGAGUUAUCAACCC